rnacentral:rRNA from 1 species
CCUACGGGAGGCAGCAGUGAGGAAUAUUGGUCAAUGGUCGGGAGACUGAACCAGCCAAGCCGCGUGAGGGAUGAAGGUACAGAGUAUCGUAAACCUCUGUUGUCAAGGAACAAAGGCGGGGACGUGUCCCCGGAUGAGUGUACCUGAAGAAAAAGCAUCGGCUAACUCCGUGCCAGCAGCCGCGGUGAUACGGGGGAUGCGAGCGUUAUCCGGAUUUAUUGGGUUUAAAGGGUGCGCAGGCGGUCUGUUAAGUCAGCGGUAAAAGCCCGGGGCUCAACCCCGGUCCGCCGUUGAAACUGGCAGGCUCGAGUUGGAGAGAGGUAUGAGGAAUGCGCGGUGUAGCGGUGAAAUGCAUAGAUAUCGCGCAGAACUCCGAGUGCGAAGGCAGCAUGCCGGCUCCACACUGACGCUGAGGCACGAAAGCGUGGGUAUCGAACAGGAUUAGAUACCCUUGUAGUC